UGGGGAAUAUUGGACAAUGGGCGAAAGCCUGAUCCAGCAAUGCCGCGUGAGUGAUGAAGGCCCUAGGGUUGUAAAGCUCUUUUACCCGGGAUGAUAAUGACAGUACCGGGAGAAUAAGCUCCGGCUAACUUCGUGCCAGCAGCCGCGGUAAUACGAGGGGAGCUAGCGUUGUUCGGAAUUACUGGGCGUAAAGCGCGCGUAGGCGGUUUUUUAAGUCAGAGGUGAAAGCCCGGGGCUCAACCCCGGAAUUGCCUUUGAAACUGGAAAACUAGAAUCUUGGAGAGNUCAGUGGAAUUCCGAGUGUAGAGGUGAAAGUCGUAGAUAUUCGGAAGAACACCAGUGGCGAAGGCGACUGACUGGACAAGUAUUGACGCUGAGGUGCGAAAGCGUGGGG
rnacentral:rRNA from 1 species